GAUGAACGCUGGCGGCGUGCUUAACACAUGCAAGUCGAGCGAGAAAAGUUCUUCGGAGCUUUUCUAGCGGCGGACGGGUGAGUAACACGUGGGCAACCUGCCUCAUAGAGGGGAAUAGCCUUCCGAAAGGAAGAUUAAUACCGCAUAACAUUGUUGAAAGGCAUCUUUUAACAAUCAAAGGAGCAAUCCGCUAUGAGAUGGGCCUGCGGCGCAUUAGCUAGUUGGUGAGGUAACGGCUCACCAAGGCGACGAUGCGUAGCCGACCUGAGAGGGUGAUCGGCCACAUUGGAACUGAGACACGGUCCAGACUCCUACGGGAGGCAGCAGUGGGGAAUAUUGCACAAUGGGGGAAACCCUGAUGCAGCAACGCCGCGUGAGGGAAUAAGGUCUUCGGAUCGUAAACCUCUGUCCAAAGGGAAGAAACAAAUGACGGUACCUUUGGAGGAAGCCCCGGCUAACUACGUGCCAGCCGCCGCCGUAAGAC
rnacentral:rRNA from 1 species